rnacentral:sRNA from 2 species
UUUAUAUAUGCUGGGCGAAGGAAGUGGAAGCGCACGGGAUACAGUCCUUUUUAAAAAACCAAAAAUCUUAUUUAGGUCCUCGCAGUUCAUCCUAUGAGGCCCCAGCCAACCAACAUAUAGCCUUUGGGCGUCUGUCAUGCGGCAACCGUUGCUCGCAUCCUGGACUUUUGGCCCGUCUUCCUUGCCAAUAGGACACUCCUGUACUCCGUAUGUCGAAGAAAGUCAUCAGCCAACAACGAACCAAACCACCCCCUUCCUUCUCGCGGACACAUGCGCCUGUGCAUGCAUUAUUAUUGACCAC